GAAAUAUUUAUUUUAUUAGAUUUCUAAGAUUAAGGAGUUAAAAAUUUUGAGUUUGUGGCGAAGACUGAAUUCCUUUGGAGCUUGUCUGGGAAUCUAAACUAAAAAUGAGCAAAUCAAUGGAUUUUAUAAGUUGCCAUUUUUAGUCAUUCGAAUACAUGAAAGAAUAUUUUAAUUUAAGACUUGAAACGUAAUCUGACUUUUAAUUGGCUCUACAAAAAAUUCAAGAUCAUUUUUAAUUUUUAACAAAUGUAGCAAACUCGUUAAAAGUUUCAGUUAAGGGUAAAGAGCUAAGCUAUUUAGCUUGUCGGCGUACGGUGUGAAUAACAAACAACUGAAUUAUUUGUGAUGGAAAUAUAAUAUUUUGUGAUACAUUUUAACAAUCUCAAGAAUUUAAUAAAUUUCCCCAACAUUUU